rnacentral:lncRNA from 1 species
UCUCUUCCCAGGAAGCUAGUGGAGGACCUGCAACGACAAAACCAAAGAAUAAAGCAAGAGGAUAGACAUCAUGGAAAUAACUACAUGGACCUCAGGGACAUCUUUGAGCAACAUUGUGAUUGGAUUCAACCAGGAACAACAGUUUUAAGAAAAGGAGACCCCUAGGAGAACAUUUCUGCUAGAAAAGAUCUGCUUACCAAUUAAGUGCUGAAGCUGCUCUCUCCAGUGACUUUCAGACUGCCCAGAAAUAAAAUUUUAAGAUGCCACCA